GGUGAGUAACACGUGGAUAACCUACCUAUAAGACUGGGAUAACUUCGGGAAACCGGAGCUAAUACCGGAUAAUAUUUUGAACCGCAUGGUUCAAAAGUGAAAGACGGUCUUGCUGUCACUUAUAGAUGGAUCCGCGCUGCAUUAGCUAGUUGGUAAGGUAACGGCUUACCAAGGCAACGAUGCAUAGCCGACCUGAGAGGGUGAUCGGCCACACUGGAACUGAGACACGGUCCAGACUCCUACGGGAGGCAGCAGUAGGGAAUCUUCCGCAAUGGGCGAAAGCCUGACGGAGCAACGCCGCCCGUGAGUGAUGAAGGUCUUCGGAUCGUAAAACUCUGUUAUUAGGGAAGAACAUAUGUGUAAGUAACUGUGCACAUCUUGACGGUACCUAAUCAGAAAGCCACGGCUAACUACGUGCCAGCAGCCGCGGUAAUACGUAGGUGGCAAGCGUUAUCCGGAAUUAUUGGGCGUAAAGCGCGCGUAGGCGGUUUUUUAAGUCUUGAUGUGAAAGCCCACGGCUCAACCGUGGAGGGUCAUUGGAAACUGGAAAACUUGAGUGCAGAAGAGGAAAGUGGAAUUCCAUGUGUAGCGGUGAAAUGCGCAGAGAUAUGGAGGAACACCAGUGGCGAAGGCGACUUUCUGGUCUGUAACUGACGCUGAUGUGCGAAAGCGUGGGGAUCAAACAGGAUUAGAUACCCUGGUAGUCCACGCCGUAAACGAUGAGUGCUAAGUGUUAGGGGGUUUCCGCCCCUUAGUGCUGCAGCUAACGCAUUAAGCACUCCGCCUGGGGAGUACGACCGCAAGGUUGAAACUCAAAGGAAUUGACGGGGACCCGCACAAGCGGUGGAGCAUGUGGUUUAAUUCGAAGCAACGCGAAGAACCUUACCAAAUCUUGACAUCCUUUGACAACUCUAGAGAUAGAGCCUUCCCCUUCGGGGGACAAAGUGACAGGUGGUGCAUGGUUGUCGUCAGCUCGUGUCGUGAGAUGUUGGGUUAAGUCCCGCAACGAGCGCAACCCUUAAGCUUAGUUGCCAUCAUUAAGUUGGGCACUCUAAGUUGACUGCCGGUGACAAACCGGAGGAAGGUGGGGAUGACGUCAAAUCAUCAUGCCCCUUAUGAUUUGGGCUACACACGUGCUACAAUGGACAAUACAAAGGGCAGCGAAACCGCGAGGUCAAGCAAAUCCCAUAAAGUUGUUCUCAGUUCGGAUUGUAGUCUGC
rnacentral:rRNA from 1 species